GUCAAAGUUUUUGUGUUGUUGUGGACGAUAGACGACUUUUUCCCUAUUUUCUGUAAUAUUUCUAAAAAAAUAUCUAAUUUAGGGAUAGGUCGUGAGCAAAAAUGGGUGCUUUAACUAGCCGCCAGAAUGCUGGCGUGGAAGAAGCAGAUGUGGUGUCCAAUCAUGCUUACAAAUACCCUCCGAGAUCUGGUAACUACUUCGGGAGCCACUUCAUUAUGGGAGGCGAAAGAUUUGACACUCCUCAACCUGAGGCCUACCUCUUUGGAGAGAAUGCUGAUCUUAAUUUUCUAGGCAGUAGACCCACACCUUUCCCAUAUCCUCCACCUCAAUCAAAUGAACCAACAAAAACUUUGAAAAGCUUAGUGAAUAUUCGUAAGGAGUCGUUACGCUUCGUCCGUUGCCCAGAACCGGUGGGCAAACUGGCGGAGAACAAGAUUGGAGAUGGAACAAUAAAGGCUAAUGACAACAAUAGCAAGGGGACAUACUAUAACAUUGAGUUCACAUUUGACUGUGAUGCACGAUGUGCUAUUACUGUAUUUUAUUUCUGCACUGAAGAAGUCACUCCAGCUGGUGUUGUGUACUACCCGCGCGACGCAGCGAUGACGUCACAGACGUACCAUUACAAAAAGGGCGCGAACCAGCAGUUCUGUCAGAUUUCUCACGUGUUCGACCCGUCGAAGUAUCCUGAAGAGGAUCUGCUAUACAACGCUGACCGGGAGAUCAUCCCCAUCGCUAUAUACUGCGUGGUUGAUGAGGGGCAGGAAGCGGAAAUAAGGCAGUCGCACACGACGAUAGCAGUAGUAGAGAAGCACUCGGACGGCACGUACGUGUUGAAGGCAUUGAAACAGAAACUGUUCGUCGACGGACUCUGCUACCUGCUGCAGGAGAUAUACGGCAUUGAGAACAAAAAUCUUGAUACCAAGCCAAGCUCGGACGAGGAGACAGAGGACGGUGGUUCAGAGUGCGUGAUAUGCAUGUGUGACGUGCGCGACACGCUCAUCCUGCCGUGCCGCCAUCUCUGUCUGUGCAACUCAUGCGCAGAUUCGCUGCGCUACCAGGCCAACAACUGCCCCAUAUGUCGCGCGCCCUUCCGCGCGCUACUGCAGAUCAGAGCGCUCCAGAAGCUUACUGGAACGCCAGCUAAUACUACUAAUCCGCCUGAUCAGGGCAGCAUGGAGACCAUCCCGCCGGGCUACGAGCCGGUGUCCCUGAUCGAGGCGCUGAACGGACCGCACCCCGCACGGCCCAUCCCGCCGCCGCCCACCAUCGCGAGCCCCGACACCGAUACUGCUUCACAGGCGGCAGAGAUCCUGAACCGCUGCAACCUGGAACGCAGCUCGUCCACUAGCCUCGGCAGCAGCGGCAGCCGCAAGGGCAAGGUCGUGAAGGAUGACAAGAGGGACCGCGUCGCUCCAGCUGUCACUCCCGAGUUCCGCAUGUCGGUGCUGCUGGCUCGCGAGGAGGAGGCCCGCGCCCGCGAGGAGAAGGCGGCGGCCACCAGCCCGCUGCUGUACACCCACCCCGCCGUCAACGGCACCGACAACGUCUCCAAGUCGUCCCUAAACUCUGAGUACGGCGGUGAAGAAGGCUCAGUCCAGUCGGCGUGUGCGUCGGAGGGCGAGGACGACGCGGCCGCCGCCGCCGCGCCGGGGGCGGAGCCCGACGCCGAGCCCGACAGCGACGCUGAGAGGCUGUCGCCGCUGUUGACGCAUCUGCCCGCUAACGGGGUAAUAAAAGGCGUGUGCGCAGCGGGCGCGGCGCUGCGGCUGUCGGCGCCCGCGCUGGCGCACAUCGACGACACCGACACCGACGAGCCGGCACACAACCACCGCUGAGACUGCCAACAACGUGUCCGCGGAGUGCACCCCGCAGCGGUGGGCGCUGCCGCACCACGUCACUUCUUUACCAGGUACACCACUAUCUCAAUCGAGCGUGCGUUCGUCGGGCGACUCGUACAGCUCGACGUCGUC
rnacentral:misc_RNA from 1 species